UUUGAAGGCAGAAGGGGCCACCUGAGAAGGAAUGUGGGCAGCUUCUAAGAGCAAUCAACAGACCCUGGCUGACAGCCAGCAAGGAAGCAGGCCCCUCCAUCCUACACCUGCAAGGAACUGAACUCUGCCAACACCUGAACCAGCUUGAAAGCAGGUUCUCCCCAACGCCUCCAGAGGACAGGCCAGCUGGCCCAAACCUUCUUUUCAGCGUUGUGAUGCCCUAAGCAGAGCCCAGCUUAGCCUGCCCGGAACUCCUGACCUACGAGACUGAAAGAACAUAAAUGAGUGUUGUGUUAAAAUUUUAUGUCUGUGACAAUUUCUUUUGGCAGCGAUAGAAAACUGACAGGCAGCCAGGAACCUGCCAAUCUACUCUUCGGGGAAACAUUUGUGUUCUGGAAGGGACUUAAAUCUCUUUCACUUGGAAAUGCGAAAUCUUUACUCUGAAGCUGAUGCCUCUGCUGAGUGUCUGACGAUUGGGGAGGAAGGACAAGAAAUGUCUGAGACAGAGACACUGCAAAAUCAAGGCCUCCAGGUCAACACAUGAGGACCACAUCGGUGGUAUACCUUGUCCUCCAGAUUCCAAUUGGGUUUUGCAAAUGGCGGAAAGGAGAAGAAUGAGACCAGAUGAGGAACUGGGACCCAGGGUGAUGAGGAGACUUUCCCAGUCAGCAUUACAAAUCCAAGACAAGAAGGCUGGUCUCCUGUCUUCUCAUCUGGUGAGCUGUCCCAUCACUCCGCUGCCUUCAGGGCUAGCCCCUCUCUCAAGCCACUCUCCUCUCCAUUCUUUCCCAAAGCCAUAGAGGGAGAUCUAUCUUCUGCGUGUGGAGGGAAGAGAGUGUGAGGGGAAGUGUUCCUCGUGGGAGCUAUGGUGGCUGUGGGAAAGUGAACAAGGUAAAGUAUUUUCCAUGUUUCUGUUUGCUUGUUUAUGGACUCAGUAUACACUCAUUGUGAGAAAAACUGUAAAAUUCAUCAAAAUAGAAAGAAGAAAAUGAGUCACUCAUAAUUCCACUAUUCUGAGAUACCAUUAUCACUUCACCAUAGUUCCUUCCAGUCUUUCAUUGCACCUUUCAUACAGCUUGUUUAAUAUUGAAUAUGUGAUUUUAUUUCCUGUGCUGCUUGUUUAACAUUAUAUCAUAGGCAAUUUUCCACAUCAUCAAAAAUCUUCCUAAGCAUAAAUUUUAGUUGCAACACAAUAUUUCGUUACAAGUUUGUGCCGUAAUUUACCGCUUCAACAAUGCUGGACUUUGAGUUAUUUCCAUAUAUUAAUUUCUGUAACAAAAUGGCAGUGAAAAUCUUGAUGCCUAAAUCUCAGUCUGCAUUUGCAAAUAUUUCCUGAUGGUUGAUUCCUGGAAGUGAAAUUCUAAGUCAAACAGUAGGUAAGAUCAUUCUUGGUAACUUUUGGGGAAGGGCUUAAAAAUGUAUACUCUUUUCACGAACAUCUAUGAAUAAGAAUUUUAAUUUCUUCUUUCCAUUUUCUUCCUAAUUUUCCCAAUUCCACCUGCUGCAAAACCAGUUCCAAACACAUUGGAUUGCACGUGUAAGCCAUCUUGAUGCAACUGUGUAAAGUGAUAAUUAAGCCCUCUAUUUAACUAAGCAUUCAUUUUUUUCCUGCUCAUGCAAUGACAAUGAGCAGGCAAAUAAUAAUUUAUUAAAAAAGAAGAAAUAUUCUAUACUUUGGAAAUACCCAAAUACUCUAGCUCUGAGCUUUCCAGUGUGAUAACCACUAGCCACACGUGGCUAUCCUUCACUUGAAAGGUGGCCCAUCUAAAUUAAGAUGUGCUGCAUGUGUAAAAUACACACCAGAUUGUAAUGACUCACUGCAAAAACCAGGAACUAAAAUAUCUCAUUGAUAUUUUUAUAUUGAUUACAUGUUGAAAUGAUAAUAUUUUGGAUAUAUUGAGCUAAGUAAAAUAUAUAA